UGGAGGCCUAAUCACCCAAAUGAAGGGUUUCCCGCUGUCUUCCAAGCCCAAAGCUAGCUCCAUCAUCUGAGAAGGACUAAUAGUGUUCUGUGAACCGAAGGAGAUGUAAAGAACUGAACUUUGUGGAUGCUUGUCCAGCCAGUCCAGGCAUUUCUCGGGAGACACUCCAGACACUUUCCAGGCUCGUUGCCCGAAGAUGCUUGAACCCGAAGAAAGUGAAUGAUUGAGCAGAGCUGGAGGGAGAAGAGGUCCUAUAGUCCAUACAGGAGGCUUUACAUAGUUUCUAAGUAUCUCCAAUCCAUGAGGCUCAAUCUCCUCAGCUGUGUUACACAACCAUCCUGAAGAGUCCAAGGAAAGCGCUAUCUGAGGCUGGAAAUACCUAGACCAAGCAUCGGUUCCAUCGGCCGCCCUCAGGUACUGAUGAAGCUGAGUGAUGUGGAAGCGGCAGGAAUCAGGAAACCCUGGCAAAGCAAAGUAAUCGGAAUCUGUAGCGCGAUGCGGGAGGUUCUGCCACAAAGAGAUGUAGGCGGCAGUGCCAUAGCCACCGCCGGUGGUGAAUGUGACGUUAGAAGUGCCUAAACUCUUGGCAACUUCAGUAGCCCAUCCAAAGAACACAUCAGAUAUUAUGCAAAGAGGAGGCCUGCCUUCUUUCUCAAUGAUCCCAGAAACGAGGCUGUGAAAAGGAGCCUGAAGAGUCUUGGAGGCGUGGAACAAAUCCACUAUCUGAUGAAACGACAAGGCCUCAGUGUUCUCAGUGUUGGGCGGGAGGCCAUGAUCAGAGCUACAGAAGGGGAGCUCGGCGAGGCGGAUACAUGGUCGGGAUGAGUCAUCAGAUGUGGAGAUGGUGGUCCUCAGGUAUUGAAUAUUGAGAGGGGUGUUGGCAAUGGUGAUGGUGAAGCCAGUUCUUUGCUGAAUUUGCUUAGCUAGAGCUAGGAAAGGUAUGAUAUGGCCCUGGGCCAUGAAAGGGAGCAUCACUAUAUGUUCCUGCUGAGAACCCAUCUUGUGAUUUCUCCUAUGGGUGUAGCUGACGGUCCUGAGACUUGGUGUUCUAUGACUCUGAAGUUUUGUACGGGUAAAGAACCUUUUUUCUGGCUCUGGUGGGUGGUGAUGAAAUAGAGACUAAAGGAUAAAUGCCGAGACAUAAAAAUACUAGAAUAUUAAGGGGCCUUCUUGAAGCAUGGAAACCUAUUCUUUUGUCGUGUGGUGGCGGGGAAUCGGUGAUAGCCGGCUUAUACAAUAUCAGAGAGUAUGUUUGGACAUGAGUGCAUUGAUAGUGAUUUCAGGAAUUCCUUCUAAUUUUUUUAAAUAUUUAAAAGUUUUCAUUAAAAGAAUUGAUUUCAAAAACACAUUUCACAGUUUUACCGUAGAUGAGGAAAGGGAAUAGAUGUCCGAUUCCUCCCUCCCCUCAUUCCCAUGUUUCGGGAUACAUUUUAGGGAGAAUUAUGUUUUGGGGGUAGAUGGGGCCCCAAAUUAAUAAAAGGUCCAUAUAACUCUUUAAAUUGAGUUGAAGGAUAUGAAAUAGUAAUGGACAAAUAUACCCUUAAAAAAUAUAUAUAAAAUAUUUUAUAAAAUUAAGUUAAAUAAAUUUUUUUUAAUAUUUUUUUUUUCAAAAAUACUAAAUUAAAUAAAAGUAGUUUUCAAAAAUAUAAAAUUAAAUAAUUUUUUUUUCAAAAAUAUUAAAUUAAAUAAAAGUAUUUAAAAAAAAAUUAAAUUAAAUAUUUUUCAAAAAUAUUAAAUUAAAUAAAAGUAUUUUUAAAAAAUUAAAUAUUUUUUAAAAAUAUUAAAUUAAAUAAAAGUAUUUUUUAAAAAUAUUAAAUUACAUAAAAGUAUUUUUAAAAAAUAAUAAAUUAAAUAAAAAAUAUUUUUUAAAUAUGUUUUUUUCUCAAAAUCAACAAAGGGCAUUUUUGAAAAUAUUGAAGGAUAAUAUCCUUCAACUCAAUUUCCAUACUUUCGUUGGGUCUUGGACUCAAUUUGAAGGGUUAUAUGGACCUUUUGUUAAUUUGGGGGUCCAUCUAGCUCCAAAACAUAAUUCUCUCUAAAUUUUAUUAAGAUAGUAAUGAAAAAAAAAAUAAUUUCAAUAAAAUUCAAAUCCCAUUUAUAAGUAAAAUUUUAAUUUAUUGUAAUUAAGUAGUAUUUUGAUUCAUUUAUCCAUGAGAAAAUAUAAAAUAGUUUGAAAUUAUUAUUUUACCCUUGAAUUUCAUUCAUCAAACUUCCACGUCUCGUCUCUUCUCCCAUAAUGAGACUAUUUUUUUAGUCUUCUUAUUAUUUAGUAACAAAAAAAAAAAACUCUUAAAAUUUAUUUUUUAAACAAUAAAAAAAAAAAUAAUUUAAACUAUGUGUAAGGAAAUUAUUAUCAAUUUUUUUCUUUUUCAUUCUCAUUCCUAUUAUUACCAAACAUUAGAAUAUAAAUAAAUAAUCAUUCUAAUAUUAAAUUAUUAGUUUUAUCCAAACACUAGAAAUAAAAUCACUAAAUUCAUUUUCAUUUACAAAGAAAAAAAUAAAAAAUAUUCGUUUCCAUUAUCUAUUCCUAUGUACCAAAAUAGUAUUUUUAUAUAGUAUUUCUAAAAAAAUUAUCUAUCAAAUGUUUUUUCUUAAAGAAGUAUUACAAAUGAUUUUUUUAUUUUUUAAAAUCAUUUUUUUUUAAUUUUAUUAACUUCUAUUUUUUUGUUUUAAAAUAUUUUUUUUUGUAUUAAAAUAUGUUUAAAAAUAUACUACCAAACCUUGUUAGGGAUGUGAAUGGGGGUUGGGAGAUUCAAGAUGUACUACACUUUUGGGACUUUAUGCUUGAAAGAAAAUAAUGUGUGGUUGCAGUUGUGGUGUUGCUGAAGCUCAUUAAUGCCUUCACGCACUUAAAAGCUAUUCUUUCGCUUAUGUCCAUAUACAACCAAUGGCGUGUUUACUUUGAAUUAAGGAAAAAGGGACUCAUUUUCUUAAUUAGUGUUUAAUUUUUUAAUUGAUUAAAAAAAGUAAAAAUAUUUGAUUUUAUUUUUUAUUAAAUUAAAAAUAAACUAUUAACAUCUACCAAUAUAACUAAUCGAACAUAUGGAUAAAAAAUUCAUUUUAAUUCUAUUGAUUAAUAUCAUUAAAUUAUUUUUAAUUAAAUAUUUCAAUUUUUUUUAUUCAAUUAAAAAACAAACACCACUUUAAUCUUAUUCUAUUCCAUCCUAUCUUUCCAAUUUUGGAAUCAAAAGAUAUGUUCCCAAAUUAGAGAGUAGAUUUUAUUUUAUUUUUUAAUUUUUUGUUUAAAGGUAAUCAUUUCGAAACGUUGGGGAAAAAGUAAUUUAAACUUACUCCACCCUGUCCACAAAUUUAACAAUAUAUAUAUUUUAAUUUUUCUUCCAUUAAUACUUUUAGGUAAAAGGUGAAGUGUACAUGCCAUAAAUGCAACAACAAUCAAUUUAAUGGUUACAAAUAUGGAACUCAAUUGGUGGGUACCAUUGAUAGAAGCCUUUUCAAUCUAUUAAAGUUUUCGACUUAUUUAAAGAUGGGUUGUUUGAUUAAAAGGCGGUAGAAACCAAUUUUGAAAAUCUAAUCUCCCAUUAUUUUUUUAUUAUAUUAUAACAAAAAUGUCCUUAUUUUUAAAAAUCUAAAAAUUGAAAGUUGUAAAAUAAUUACAAAAUUAUCUCCCCUUCUAAAAAUGAUAUUAAUUUUUUUGUUAUUUAAAUUUUAAAAAUAUAUUAUAUAUAUUUAUGAUGUCCUUUUAAUAUUAUAGUUUGGUCAUGAUUGAAGUAAAUGACUAGCUAAUAAUCUAAAACUCCAACAACUUUCUUUAAGGACAAUUUCAACCAAGGAUGAAAAUAUUGAUAAUUACAGAUAUAUCGGUCUUUUGAUUUUACGGAAAUAUUAGAGAAAUAUCGGUUAUAAGAAUGCUUGGAAAAACUCCAAAAAAUAAUAAAAUAAGCAAGAAUAUACAUUUUAAAGUUAUUUUGUAGGUGUAAUUGAUAUAAAUAUGAUCAAGAAGAAAAACAUCGGUAGACAGAGAUAUAUCGUUUCACACCGAUAUAUCGUUAAUAUUUUGGCGAUUUUCCCUAUAUUUUUAUGAUAUUCCUCCCGUUCGAUAAUCUGUGCUCAAAAUCAUUUCGAGACCGUCUGAUAUAUGAUAUAUCGGUGAUAAAAACCGAAAUUGCAAUCCAUGAUUUCAACUUCAAGGGGCAAAAUUAUUUUCUUUUUCACAAAUAUUUUGAGUGUAUUUCAUUAGUCUCAAAUCUAGAAAGGGUCAUUCAUAAACUAUUUAAAGAACCAAAAAAAAAAAAAAAAGUUCAAAAAAGGAGAUUGAAGUUAAUUUUUUUACUUAUUUUAUUUGGGAAUUCAAAAUUCAUAAAAAUUUCAAGCUCAAACUCUUGAUCUUUUAAUCAUCAUAAUUUAAUUACUAUACUCCUAACAUAAUAACAAUGUUAUCAUCAUAACGAUUCUAUUAUACAAUAGUAAUUAAAUUAUUAGAGUUUUGUGACCUGAAUUCUAUUUGAUCUAACCCAAAAAGUUCAUGAUGCGACAUAUAUAGUGAAGAAAAAUAAUGAGAUUUUUUGGGGGUCUAUAGUGGUAGCGGAAGGAUCGGGCCAAUAUAUAUAUAUGCGAUGAUGUAUAGGAUUUAUGAUUAUGAUGUUUAUGCCUAUAUAUAUACGAUGAUGUAUAGGAUUUAGGGUUAUGAUAUUUAUGCCUAUGCAAUAGUUACUCGCAUCUCUCAUCUCUUGUAUUAAUUUUUGACAUACUGAAUUUUCUUCUUCUUUGUUCGUGGUUUUUCCCAUCUAAGGUUUUCCACGUAAAAUUGUGUAUUGUUAUUAUGUUUAAUUUCUUAUUACCUAUUCUUGUUCUUUCAUAACAUAAUUCUUAUAUGAUGAUGAUGAUCGAAUUGAUCGGGUUUGGUUGGAUUUGGAUCACUAAAACCAAACCACCUGUAAUACUAAAUUAAUCAUUGGUUUGCCAUCUUCACAAACCUAAAUAAUUGGCAAUUGAUAGGAAAAAAGCAAUUGACUACCUACAACGAAUUCUCGGUAAUCUUAAUUUUUGUUGUUGAAAUAAUUCAAUGCAAUAAACCAUCCUUGGCCUACCAAAAUAUACAGUUUUUCCUUCCAAGUUCAAUAUAGCCAAGUGUUUUAAAAAAUCAGUAUUUCAGACAAAAGCAAAAAUGCUACAUCAAUCUAACAGCUCCUUCAAAAUAAUUUUCAAGAUAAAUGUCCUAGAUUUGUCCUUUGGAGAACAGAAUCAGAGCUAUUACAGUCCAGUUCAAUUCAUUCACUGAUAUUUCAAGCAGACAACAAUAUCAUUGAAUUGUUAACUAUACACAUUAUAUAUAGAAUAACAAUUCAGUUCAAUUUAUUCACAGAUAAAAAGGUUAAAUGUUUUCAUUAUGGAAGAUUAGGACACAUAGCUACAGAUUGCCCUAGUCCAAAAAAUGCUAAGAAAGCAAUGCAAGUGACUUAGAGUGAUUCUGAGUAGAGUGAAAGUGAAUCUUCAAACUCAAGAGAAGCAAGAAUGAUCAAAAUGAUGACUUUAUUGCUUUUGUUGCAUCAAUUAAUUUCGAUUUUGAUCCUAUGAUUGAUAUAAAGUCUAAUGAUGAUUCUAAAUGUUCGUUUGAUAGUAUACAUGAUGCUUAUGAAGCCCUACUUGAAUGAAGUCUAAAAUUCAAGGUUGAAAAUGUGAAAUACAAAAGAAAAAAUGAAAAAGAAAAAUAGGGCUUCAGAGAUAAAUAAUUUGAAUGAAUCCCUUAGAUUGGAAAAUUCCAACCUUCUCAAAGAAAUUACAACAUUUAUAUAUAAGAUGAAAAGAUGAAAAAAGAACUUAUAUUGUAAAAAGAAAAAGACACCCAAAUGUUGAAUUGUUGAACAAUUUGAUAAAUUCAUGUAUGUCUUUUGAUGAUAAAAGAGGUCUAUGAUGUCUUGAUCAGUCAACUAAUCAUACUAAUGCAAAGCAUAACUUUGUUAAGGCUAAAUAGGGAAUUCUUAUUGUCUAAUACCCAAUAGGUUCAUUUACACAAGCUCGUUUUGUCAUAAGAUUGGUUAUACUAAUGAUAGGUGUCAUAUUAGAAAGUUUGAAGAGUUCCAUGGGCAAAAUUAGCAAGCUUGUAGUUGAGUUUAAAGCAUCGAGAGACAAAAUCUUAUUUAAUAGAAAAAAAAGAAAAACUGUUCAAUGGGUUGCAAAAGCUCACACCAAGCUAAAUAUAGUAUGAAUAUUCAUGAUUUCCAUCUUGGUAAUCAAAUUCAUCUUUUAGGGUCCUUAAACUAGGCAAAAUUGAUUUAGGAAAGAUGACCAAGUUAAGCUUUAGAGUAAAGGCUUUGCCAUGUCAAAAGUCAUUCCCUUAGAUUCUUUUAAGACUUUGUUUCUUAGGAAAUAAUUAGGAGUUUUCUCUUCUUCAUAGCACAUUUUGUUUCAUAGUCUAAGGUCUUGUCUUAGUAUUGUAUUUUUAUUCCCAGUGUUAUGUCUAUUUUAGUCCUUAGAGUUUUUCUAGUUAUGUUUUCUUUAUAGAACUUCGUUGUUAGUAUGCUAUUCUUAACUUGAUUGAGUCUAGAUCAUGAAUUUAUGGGAAGUGUUCUUGGUUAUUUCUUGGAGCAAUGUCAUAUGCUUGAUCCAAGAUGAUUGAUUGAGGGGAAUCAUUCUUUUAGGUUCUAGGUUCAUUACAUUUCAUGCUUAUAUUUUGGUGAAAAUUGUUGAUUACUUAAUUAAUUAUUAUUUUCUUAAAUGGUUUAAGUUAUUUUUUUUUUAUUUUGUUAUUCUUUGAAAAGUUCAUCCUUAUAUCAAUUAUACUUGGGGAUCACUUUUAAUUUUUUUUUUUUAAAAAAAAAACUAAAAACGAAGUAAAUAGGGAAUUUGAUUUGGUUAUGCUAUAAGAUCUUCUAUUAAUCUUAAUGAAAAAGAGAUUUCAAAUUCAAGGAUUCAUAACAUCAUGCUUAUUUCAAUAUAACUUGCCAUAUCAUAUUUGAUAUAGUUCAAAACUUAGAUUUGAAGUGAAAAAGGUUACCUUAGUUAAAUUAAUAUUACAUAUCCAUAAACUAAGAGUGAAAGCCAUCAAGAUACUUGGGAAAACCCCUUUGUGGAAUGGCUAAAUAUUCAUCAAAGAUAAUUUUUUAUAUUUAUGAUUAAAGUUCUCUACCUUCAAAAUCAAUAAAAAUAAAAAUAAUCAAUUAAUGGGGAAUAAUUAAAUUUAUGCUUUCAAUAUCAACACAUCAUCAUGUUAAACAGAAAUCUAGUCGAACUAUUUUCAAAUUGAAUGAGUUUUUAAUUGAUUUAAAAACAAACAUGAUCUAGCUAAUUAACAAAUUGAAUUUAUAAAUUGAAUUACUUUAUUCAAACAUUAGGCAAACGACCUUGAUAUUAACUAUUUUAGUUGAUAUUAUUUUUUGUUAUAUCUUAUUGGUUGUUGAAAAGUUUUAUAGUCUAAUUUGUCAUUAAUUUGCUUUUCUAAAUAGUUUUUGCAAAGAAUUUAGAUAAUCUAAAUUCAAUUUCGUGAGUUGUACUUGGGUUAUUUGUGAUAAUUAUAAUAUGUUAAUCUUCGACAAUAUUUUGAGAGUUAUUGACAUAAGAAUUAACAUCUUUUGUGUCUAUAUGUUUUCUUUGGACUUGUAGAUGAAUUUUGCGGAAUUUUAUAUCAAGGAGGACAUUUUGGGCUAUCCAAGGACAUCUCAAGCAUUUAAAAAGCUUGAAGAAUGUGUGAAAAAGGACUAAAAGUAAGGAAGCCUUUCAAACCCUACUUAAGUUGCAUCAAACACCCACACCUUUCCUCAUCUAUAAAUGCAUAUUUUCAUUCUUUCUGCAUACAUUGGUCUUUCUUGCUUUCUUUACUCAUCUUUGUCAUUUUUAUGACAAAAUAAGGAAAAUGAUUGAUGUGUAAAAAUGAUUACGAUGGAUAUUUAUUAUUUAUUUACAUUCUUGAUGAUAUUAUGAUCAUGUUGAUUUAUUUUGAUGAUUGACAUUUGAUGUUGAUACAUGAUUAUUUAUUAUUUGGAUUAUAACAAUUACCUUUAUCACAUAGUAUAUGGUUUAUAAAGUUUUUCCACGUAGUGUUCUUUGUGGGCAUUUUUGUUUAAGAAUGUGCAUGCAAGUCGUGGGUUUUCAGGACUUUUCAAAAUUCAUUGCGUAAUAAUUGAAGAUUAUAGUUUAGGAUGUUUGGUUUAGACUUGAAAAUUAUUGAGUGACAUUUUAACUUUAUUUGAGAAUAUUGAGAGGUUUAUGUAAAUUAUUUUCUCUCAAAAUUAUUGAAGGGGAAGAUUAUUAGUGUACUAGAUCGACAAACUAUUUUAGGUUGACAAUUAAUUUUGUUCCAUACAUUCUUGGAUUCUAACCUAUAUACAUCUCAAGUUUUACAUUGGCCUUGAAGACUUGAAAUCAUAGUAUAUUCAUUAACAACAUAGAUUAUGUAAGUGUUAUUGAGUUACUAAGAUAAUGACAUAAUUAUGGCAUAUAGUGGAGUAAUGUUUAAGUUGGGCAAGAAAAUUGAAUUUGAAAAAAAAAAAAAUCUUUCUCAAUCUUUCUAAACUUCUCUAUGCUAGCAAAUCCAUUUUUGUGAAGAUUUAAUUCCAAAUUAGUAUAGAUUUGAAAAUCUUUUCAAAAUUCACCAAGUUUUGAAAUCAUUUUUAUAAAGAUUUGUUCCUAAAAUUUGCUCAAUCUAUUUGAGCUAUUAUCUUAUAAAUAUAUUUAUUGGUUGUGCUAUAUAGCAACCUUGCACCCAAGAGUUUAUUGUCAUUAUCCUUGCACAUUUUCACACGAUCAAACUCAAAUCUUAUUUGAAUUUGCUCAUGAUGGUUGAUUGUGCCCCUUCAAGUUGUUUAGACAUUCACUAAGAAGGAAGAGUUGUGUUAUGCAUGCGAGAACAAGUGUAGAUUGUGACAAUGUAAUUCUCAAGGAUAAUAAUGACUUACAGGUAAAUCUAUGUACUCAAUCUUUUUAUAUAUAUUUCAUGGAUUUAAGUUUAUGGUUUAUAUCUUCGUGGGGUCUUUGAGAAGCUUAAUGAAGGUCCAUGAUUAGAAGUUUAUGGAUUAAUUCAUUGUUAAUAUCCUAAUCAAAUAACUUAUAAAAAUUAAAAAUUUAUUUAUUUUUGGCUAAUAUAUAAUUGAGGAUUAUCACCGCCUCUGGCCAGUUCCAUGAUACUUAAUCUCAAACUUUCACAUUCAUCACAAAGCUAAUUAUAUCCUCAAAAAAUUUAUAAAGUUUGUUGGAAUUUUUAUAUAGGUGAAAGGAAAUUAGGACACAUCUUUCCCUAAUGGAUACUACAUAUUUCAAAUGAUGUCUCUAGUAUAAGUGAAUGAAAAUUAGGAUACAUAUUUUCCUAAUGGAUACUACAUAUUUCAAAGGAUGUGUCUAGUACUUUAAAAACACAUAUCUUCUAAUAAGUCACUGACAAAUCUAUAAAUAGGACUCCUAUGAAAUUUCUCAUUCAUUUUUCAUUCAAUUAUUUAUCUAUACUCUCCACUCUUUCUCCUCUUUUGUCAUUUAAAACAUUCAAGUCCUCUUUUGCUUCAAGUUUAGUAAUUUCUCAUUUCGAUCGAAUAUUUGAUAUUAAAGAGAGUACAAACUACUAAGUGAUUCAUUGUUUCUUGUGAUUUAAAGUACUACUAUCACAAAAAAGUUAUUAUUAUAUCAUGGGAGACGAUGGUUAAUAGACCAUAAGCACCUAAGUGAAACAAAUUAGUUUUAAGGACAUAGAGUCAAAAUCUAGCCUCGAUCAAUUUUAUUUGUGAGUUUCAAUUUUCUAUUUACUUUGUAUAGAUUUGAAAAUCUUUUCAAAAUUCAUCGAUUUUUCAAAUCAUUUUUAUAAAGAUUUGUUCCUAAAAUUUGCUCAAUCUAUUUGAGCUAUUAUCUUAUAAAUAUAUCUAUUGGUUGUGCUAUAUAGCAACCUUGCACCCAAGAGUUUAUUGUCAUUAUCCUUGCACAUUCCCACACAAUCAAACUCAAAUAUUAUUUGAAUUUGCUCAUGAUGGUUGAUUGUGCCCCUUCAAAUUGUUUAGACAUUCACUAAGAAGGAAGAGUUGCGUUAUGAAUGUGAGAACAAGUGUAGAUUGUGACAAUGUAAUUCUCAGGGAUAAUAAUGACUUAUAGUUAAAUCUAUGUACUCAAUCUUUAUAUAUAUAUUUCAUGGAUUUAAGUUUAUGGUUUAUAUCUUCGUGGGGUCUCUAAGAAGGUUUAUGAAGGUCCAUGAUUAGAAGUUUAUGGAUUAAUUCAUUGUUAAUAUCCUAAUCAAAUAACUUAUAAAGAUUAAAAAUUUAUUUAAUUUAUGCUAAUAUAUAAUUGAGGAUUAUCACCGCCUCUGGGCAGUUCCAUGAUACUUAAUCUCAAACUUUUACAUUCAUCAUUAAGCUAAAUAUAUCCUCAAAAAAUUUAUAAAGUUUGUUGGAAUUUUUAUAUAGGUGAAUGGAAAUUAGGACACAUUUUUCCCUAAUGGAUACUACUUAUUUCAAAUGAUGUGUCUGAUAUAGGUGAAUGGAAAUUAGGAUACAUAUUUUCCUAAUGCAUACUACAUAUUUCAAAGGAUGUGUUUAGUAUUUUAAAGGCACAUCUCUUCUAAUAAGUCACCAACAAAUCUAUAAAGAGGGAGUCCCAUGAAAUUUCUCAUUCAUUUUUUAUUUAAUUAUUUAUCUAUUCUCUCCCCUCUUUCUCCUCUUUUGUCAUUUAAAACAUUCAAGUCCUCUUUUGUUUCACGUUUAGUAAUUUCUAAUUUCUACCAAAUAUUUAAUAUUCAAGAGAGUAGAAAUUACUAAGUGAUUCAUUGUUUCUUAUGAUUUAAAGUGCUACUAUCACAAAAAAGUUAGCAUUAUAUCAUGGGAGACGAUUGUUAAUAAACCAUAAGCACCUAAGUGAGACAAAUUCAUUUUUAGGACAUAGAGUCAAAAUCUAACCUCAAUGAAUCUCAUUUGUCAGUUUCAAUUUUCUAUUUGCUUUAUGUUAUUUAUAUAUUUAUUGUCUACACUUAUUAUCCAUAUAUUUUUCGGUGAUUUGGAUAACAAAGUUAAGGUCUCUCUCAAGGGAAUAAACCUUUACAUUUAAUAUAUGAUUGAGAAUUGUAAAAAACGCCUAUUGCUCUAAAUACACUAGAGCUUGAGGAAUAUAUGUCACCAUUUUGGACCCUCAAAGGAUUCACUUUGAGCCCCAUCUUUCGAGAUGCUCUCAUAAUCUCUAAAAUAUCGCCCAACCGAACCAAGAAGAAAUGAACAUAAAUAAAAAGAUAAAGAGGAUUCUAGUUUGUAAAAUGAAAGAUGACCAUCUUUCUAUGGAAUAUUUUAGCCAAAAAGAAAGAAAGAAAGAAACUCUGUUUCUCUUAUUCUAAAAUAAGUAAGUUUAUUCAUAGUUAUUCAACCAAGAAGAUCCUCAGUAGCCUUGUCUCUUGGAAAGCAUUGUGGAGACAAAAUCAUCCAUUGCUUUCAGAGAAGACCCUUCCUCUCUCAUUGCAUCUCUUAUCUUCUCUCCAAUCUCUGCUGCUUUCUUCUUCAUCUCCUCUGCUUUCCCUUUACUGUCCAUAACCAACUCUAUUACUCUCUUCACCUCCUUCCUCACCACUGCACCCUGCAGUCCUCUUGUCAACUCCACAGCCACUCCCAUGUCCUCCACCAGCAUUUUGGAGUUAUAGCAUUGCUCUGCAGCCAACGGCCACGCUAUUAUUGGAACUCCCACACAGAGGCUUUCCAUCACUGAGUUCCAUCCGCAGUGGCUGAGGAAGACCCCAGUUGAUUUGUGUGAUAGGAUCUCCAAUUGGGGUGCCCAGUUGUGGACAAUCAGGCCUUGGUUUCUAUCAGCCAUUCGCUGUUCGAACUUUUCUGGUAACCAUUCUGCUCGAAACUCACCUUUUAUGUCGAAACCAACUGGAGGCCUAAUCACCCAGAUGAAGGGUUUCCCGCUGUCCUCCAAGCCCAUGGCUAGCUCCAUCAUCUGAGACGGACUAAUAGUGUUCUGUGAACCGAAGGAGAUGUAAAGAACUGAACUUUGUGGAUGUUUGUCCAGCCAUUCCAGGCAUUUCUCAGGAGACACUCCAGGCACUUUCCAGGCUCGUUGCCCGAAGAUGCUACCCGAGGAAGGUGAAUGAUUGAGCAGAGCUGGAGGGAGAAGAGGUCCUAUGGUCCACACAGGAAGCUUUACAUAGUUUCUAAAUAUCUCCAGGCCUUGAGGCUCAAUCUCCUCAGCUGUGUUACACAACCACCCUGAAGACUUUAAAGAAUUUGCUAGCAUAGGCUGGAAAUACCUAGACCAAACAUCGGUUCCGUCAGCCACUCUCAGGUACUGAUGAAGCUGAGUGAUGUGGAAGCGGCAGGAAU
rnacentral:lncRNA from 1 species